rnacentral:sRNA from 1 species
AUCGGUUUGGAAGACAGACCUUAUGAAAGCAGUUUUAGUAAAGCAGUCCUCAUUUAAAGCGUUAUCUCAGAUACCCCUUCUUCGUGAGCCUCUUCUAAGUGCCCAAUAAGUAUUCUCUGCAAUACAGACCUUUUAUGCCACAUAAGCUGGCUCCUCAAUGAAAGAAGGAAGUAUCAAUGUCUAAUAAAAUGACUGGUUUAGUAAAAUGGUUCAACGCUGAAAAAAGGCUUCGGCUUUAUCUCUCCGGAAGACGGCAGCAAAGAUGUAUUCGUACAUUUCUCUGCUAUCCAGAGCAACGAUUUCAAAACCCUUGAUGAAGGUCAGAAAGUGCAGUUCUCUGUUGAGAACGGCGCGAAAGGCCCUUCAGCAACGAACGUAGUUGCGCUGUAAGACGCCUUAGUCUUGAUAGCCCUUCCGGUAGCGAUG